rnacentral:lncRNA from 1 species
AUUAUAGUAUUAUUGAUCAAAUUUUGGAUAUUUUAUCAAACGAUGAUAGAUAUUUCAGUAGUAUUUGUUGGAGUGGUAGAGGUCUAGAUUAUCAUACCUAUAUUAAAACUAUUUUUGAGAGUGAUAGUUUAGUUCGAAGUGCUAAACCUAGUGCACAUCUGUUAUUACUUAAAAAUAGACUAAUUCGUCAUAUUUUUACAUUCAAUUUCCUACC